AUAGCAUUAGGAGAUAUACCUAAUGUAAAUGAUGAGUUAAUGGGUGCAGCACACCAACAUGGCACAUGUAUACCUAUGUAACAAACCUGCACAUUGUGUACAUGUACCCUAGAACUUAAAGUAUAAUUAAAAAACAAAACAAAACAAAACAAAAACAAUGAGGUGCUAUUGUUUUAGUGGUGAGUAUCCGGAGACCUGGGAGUUCUAUUUACCAGGUAUAACCUGGGCUCAAAAUUCCAGGCUGACUUCAGGCAUGUCCUCAUCUCAUAGAUGCCAGCACUAAGGCCCAGAGAGGGCCGAGCUCAUUCAGCCCACCCAUCUUCUCACCCCUGACUGCAUUUCCCGGGGGUCCUUCUGCAGCCAGGUGCUGCUGUGGUACUUUGGGAUCUAUUGGCUGAGCUCCCAGAGAAGGGUCAUGGAUUGGGCUAGUUUGGAACAAGUGAAGGGACUGAAGAUGGGCUCAGUAUGGGGCGAAGACCUUCAGGAAGGGUCUGCAGAGUGAGUAGGGGGGUUUUGACUAGGAAAAGUUCCAACCCUGCCGGGGCCGCUGUCAAGAGAAAAGCAUCUAUUACAGUUACAUUUUUAAGUUAAGUAGACUGAAGAAUAUUUCUUGUGUAUUAAAGACGUUCCUUUUUGGUUGAUUUGCAAUGGAAAAGCUUUUGUUUUCUUUUUUUUUUUGGAAACAGGGUCUCACUCUGCUCACUCUGUCUCCCAAGCUGGAGUGCAGUGGUACAGUCACGGCUCACUGCAGCCUCCACUUCCUGGACUCAAGUGAUCUUCUCACUUCAGCCUUCUGAGUAGCUGGGACUACAGCCCCCUCUGCAGCUCUUCAUGGGGGUCCACUCAAGUCAGAAGCCACAUUUGGGUGUGAUUCAGAGAGCUGUUUAUGCAAAACCAGCUUUGUCACCAUCAGGCAAGGCACCUGAAUUCCCACCGCAGAGAGUGUUGUGGCCGUGAGGACUUUUCUGUCACCAGCCAUUUCCAGGUAGACCCAGUGUAAUCACAAGCAUCCUUGUAAGUGGCAAAGAGGCAGAGGAGACAGCGCCAGAGAGGCAGCUGCAUGAGAAGGAUCAAGAUGUUGCUGACUUUGAAGUUGGAAGAAGAAGGCCAUGAGCCUCAGUAUGUGGGCGGCUUCUAGAAGCUGGAAGGGGCAAGGAGAUGGAUUUGACCCUUCAGCCUCCAGGGGCAGCUGUACCUGCCAUCACUGAUUGUAGCCUGGUGAGGCCUGUUUUAGACUUCUGACCUGUAGAGCUGUAACAUAAUACAUUUGGGUUGUUUUCAACCACUAAGUUUGUGGUAAUUUGUUGUAGCAGCUGUAGAAAAUGAAUACAUAUGAAUCCUCUGGCAUUUGUUUGAGAUUUGCUCUAUGGCCUAGUAUGUGGUUGUAAAUGUUCCAUCUGUGCCUGAAAAAAUGUAUAUUUCUAAUUCAGUAGUCUCUGCUUUUUUUUUUUAUUUUGUACCCCAUCAAUAAAAUGAUUUUCAGCAUGUAUCCCCAAA
rnacentral:lncRNA from 1 species